CUCCUCCUCCUCCUCCUCCCCCUCCUCCUCCUCCUCCUCCUCCUCGGUGUCUUCAGCGUCUCAGAGGACGGACGGAGCCAAGAUGGAGGCGUUUCUGCCAAAACCUCUAGGAGGCUUCAUGUCUCCUCCUUCUGCCACCGCCGUCACAGACUAACUCCUGG